UCUUUAACUAAUAGUUGUUAGACUAUGAAAAUAAUGGACUAAGCUUCCGGGUCUGAAACGUAAAACCAAUGCUGAAGCUCCUUAAAGCUGCGUUCUCUCUAACUUCCAGCAGGGGGCGACUCCACUGGCUCCAAAAA